UACUCGGGGAUGGGAGGCAAGGGUGGGGGUGCAGGAAAGAGAGUAAAAAGAGAGACGGGUGGUGAAGGAUUGAAGAGACCAUGGGGGUGGGGGUGCCAAGACAACAAGGGAGGAUCUAGGACGUUGACAGGUACUUGAGACAAGGCGACCUGGGAGAGUGCCUGCUGGGAGUCCUUAGGAGAGGCGAAGCACCUGCUACUACUGUGUAACACACUCCAACAUAGCCCCCGGGACGGGCUCGGCGCUGGGGUAUGGAGGCUAGGAAGUGAGAAGAAACUCGAGGUUGCAGCAGAGAGCUAGCUGACCUUCAGUUAACAGAAGCAAGGGAGACCGCAGUGCCCACCAGACCAUGCACCACAAAAACCAUGGGACAAGGACCAAUGCUAAAGAUCACACCAAGGGAGACGUGAGCAGCACCUGCAUCCAGAGUUUUGGCCAGAUGGAGAGAGAGAUGUUGAUAAGAACACUUGACCUAGAGGAAUGGACAUGAUGACUGAAUUAAGAUCCCAUUUAGAUAAAUCACAAUUUCAAAAUAGAACCUUAUACCUCUCUUUUCAUCAUUGACUGGCUUUGUGACCCUGAAAGGAAGAAUGAAGAAACAGAGAGGGGAAUGUCAAUGCCACAAAAUCACAGGGCCAGAAGGUACCUCAGAGACCACUCGGUCCAACUCAUAAAUGAACAAGAAUUCCCUCUACAAUCUGCCCAUCAAGUGUUAUCCAGCCUCUGCUUAAAGACUUCCAUUCAGGGGGAACCCCCUUCCUUGAAAGGCUGCCCAUUCCAUGUUGAUCCCAUACCCUCCCAUCUUCUCCAACAGAUUGGAUACUUUUUCUAUCUUUAAUAUUCAAUAUCUCUCUAGUGGUAGCUACUAUUACCCAACUACAAACACAACCAUGUCAACAUCCUUU